rnacentral:rRNA from 1 species
AGUGAACGCUGGCGGUAGGCCUAACACAUGCAAGUCGAACGGCAGCACAGUAAGAGCUUGCUCUUACGGGUGGCGAGUGGCGGACGGGAGAGGAAUACAUCCGAAUCUACUUUUUCGUGGGGGAUAACGUAGGGAAACCUACGCUAAUACCGCAUACGAUCUACGGGUGAAAGCAGGGGAUCUUCGGACCUUGCGCGAAUGAAUGAGCCGAUGUCGGAUUAGCUAGUUGGCGGGGUGAUGGCCCACCAAGGCGACGAUCCGUAGCUGGUCUGAGAGGAUGAUCAGCCACACUGGAACUGAGACACGGUCCAGAGUCCUACGAGAGGCAGCAGUGGGGAAUAUUGGACAGUGGGCGCAAGCCUGGUCCAGCCAUACCGCGUGGGUGAAGGAGGCCUUCGGGUUGUAAAGCCCUUUUGUUGGGAAAGAAAAGCAGCAGGUUAAUACCCAGCUGUUCUGACGGUACCGAAAGAAUAAGCACCGGCUAACUUCGUG